AACCCUGGCUGACAGUUGUGCACUCCUGGAUGGUGGAUUACCAAAAGUUUCCUGUUUGGGCCAGGAUUUCACCUGAUCAACAACGUUCUUUCUGGCCUUGAUCUCCUAGCAUAGCUCCUGGUUCCCAUCUGACAGCUGCCUACAGCUCUGCCUGGACAACAUGGCACUACAGAGAGAAUAGAUUCAGGUGCUUUCUGUUUCCAGAUAAAGUGUAAUACCACUGCCUGGAAUACCACUGCCUGCUAUUCCACCAACCCUGCUGAAAGACUACUUGGAUGUGUAAGAUCCUGUGAUGUAUUCAGAAACAUUGCAGCUUUUCAAGUGAAACAGACUCCUAUAAUAUCGCAGCAACUAAUCGCCAGGAGCCAUCCUCUGGAAUGUCCUUCGGAUCAACCACGGAGCAAGGUCAGAUGGUGGAAGAGCCCUGCUGAUCUCGCUCCCACCCAAAAAGUCAGGUAGCUCACCCAUUGUUCUCAACACCUGCUCCAGAUGAAUUUUUGCCCAGUACGUUGCUUCUGCAGUACAUCAGCAGACCACGCCGGCGCUUGUAAUAGCAUGAAACAUCCACCACCAGCAAGAUCAGGAAGAGGAUUACCAGCACAAUGGCCAAGAUGCUGCCUAUUCCCAAGCCCUUGUCCGGAGUCUCUGAAAGAGGAGGAAAAGAUCUGUUUGCAAAAGCCAAUGGGAAGGAAGCCACAAUGCCCAGGGCCUAUUCCUCAGCUCUGCAAAGAUGAUGGCAGCUUUUGAUUCUUGGACUAAACUCAGUCAAUGGAGUCUGGUGGCUGGAAUUUCGGCGGGGUUGUGAAUUCACUCUAGCUUCAUUCAAAACCCGUUAGAGCUCUGAAGGAGCUAUCCAAGGUGCUGGACCUGUUUUGAGGCUGGGGCUCAGCACCAUGGAUAGCUCUUUUUGGAACUCUUGGUGGUUCUGACUGAAACCCAGAAUGGAUUCGCAGCCCCACCAAAAUCUGAACUAUCAGCCUCUGUUGUCCUCAGUGGAUUUAUUUCAUUAUAUAUUGCACACAUAUCCACUUUCUACCUUCUAGGCUUCCCUUGAUCCAAAAGAACCUCCUGAAGCUUUCCACUUUAUUACACCCUGCCAAUGAAAUUGCAAGAGAGAGGCAUUUUGCCAAAUAUUUUUGCGGAAGGAGGAAUUGCCUGACAUUUUCUGCAGGAUAGCCUCACCAUAAGGAACUGUGUUGGGUCUUUCUUCUUUCUUCUAAGGUUUUAUGUUUUUUAUUUCUGCCAUGUCAAGCAACAGGACGGUCCCUGCAUUGACAGCCUGGCCACCAUUUUGUAUAUCCCACAAUCCCCUGGACAUAGCAUUGCUCCAUGGCAUUGUGGGGGGAAAUGGCAAUCGUCACACACAAAACAGUGGGGAAUAUUUGGGAAAAUAUUCAACAAAAUGACCCCUUUUUCAGUGUGGGGUUGAAAAAGGAAGUCCUCCAAACAUUUCUCCUCACCACUGCCCCACCCCACCCCCCAAACCAUCUGAAAAACUUCAGCCCAGAUUUAAAUAAAAUAAAUGGCUAACAUUGAGGGUACAGCUCUACCAGGGGCAUGCAACUUAGGGUCCUCCAGACAUUUUGGCCUACAACUUCCCUCAACCCUUGCCAAUAAGGCAAUGCCCACCCAGAUCCAUGCUAUCAGCUUAACUGCAAUGGCUUUUCCAAACUGUAGUUUGGAGAGGGAUGCUUAGAAUUGUCUAGAGAUUCCUAAACACACACACACACACACACACAGAGAGAAAGAGAGAGAGAGAGAAAACUACAGUUCCCAGGGUUCCUUGUUAACAUGACUUUAGAUCUGUAGUGUGGGCAACCUGACUCCUACCCAAUUACUGAAGCCUGGAUAUUUGUAGUUCACCUGUUUGAAGAGUAACUUUCUUCUCGGUGCUCCCCAGAUCAUUGGCAGCUUUUACCAGGAGUUCUGAAAUAUCCUCUUCUGAUGUUGGUGUGAAC